rnacentral:rRNA from 1 species
CAGCAGCCGCGGUAAUACGUAGGUGGCAAGCGUUGUCCGGAAUUAUUGGGCGUAAAGGGCUCGCAGGCGGUUUCUUAAGUCUGAUGUGAAAGCCCCCGGCUCAACCGGGGAGGGUCAUUGGAAACUGGGAAGCUUGAGUGCAGAAGAGGAGAGUGGAAUUCCACGUGUAGCGGUGAAAUGCGUAGAGAUGUGGAGGAACACCAGUGGCGAAGGCGACUCUCUGGUCUGUAACUGACGCUGAGGAGCGAAAGCGUGGGGAGCGAACAGGAUUAGAUACCCCCGUAGUCCCUGUCUCUUAUAC